CAGCCCUAAACGAUGCGCGUUAGGUGUAUCGGUGACCACGAGUCACCGAGGUGCCGAAGGGAAACCGUGAAACGUGCCGCCUGGGAAGUACGGUCGCAAGGCUGAAGCUUAAAGGAAUUGGCGGGGGAGCACCACAACGGGUGGAGCCUGCGGUUUAAUUGGACUCAACGCCGGGAAGCUCACCGGAUAAGACAGCGGAAUGAUUGCCGGGCUGAAGACCCUGCAUGACAGCUGAGAGGAGGUGCAUGGCGUAGUCGUGU
rnacentral:rRNA from 1 species